UAACAGUAGUGUUGGUCCUGGUCUCCAUGCUGUCAGGUAGAUGAUUAUAACAGUAGUGUUGGUCCUGGUCUCCAGACUGUCAGGUAGAUGAUUAUAACAGUAGUGCUGGUCUCCAGGCUGUCAGGUAGAUGAUUAUAACAGUAGUGUUGGUCUCCAGACUGUCAGGUAGAUGAUUAUAACAGUAGUGUUGGUCCUGGUCUCCAGACUGUCAGGUAGAUGAUUAUAACAGUAGUGUUGGUCCUGGUCUCCAGACUGUCAGGUAGAUAAUUAUAACAGUAGUGUUGGUCUCCAGACUGUCAGGAUGAUGAUUAUAACAGUAGUGCUGGUCUCCAGGCUGUCAGGUAGAUGAUUAUAACAGUAGUGUUGGUCUCCAGGCUGUCAGGUAGAUGAUUAUAACAGUAGUGUUGGUCUCCAGACUGUCAGGUAGAUGAUUAUAACAGUAGUGUUGGUCUCCAGACUGUCAGGUAGAUGAUUAUAACAGUAGUGUU
rnacentral:lncRNA from 1 species